GACGAACCGUGCGAACGUUAUUCGGAAUCACUGGGCUUAAAGGGCGCGUAGGCGGGUUGCCAAGUCUGUGGUGAAAUCCUCCAGCUUAACUGGAGAACGGCCGUGGAUACUGGCGACCUCGAGGGGGGUAGGGGCUUGCGGAACUGUGCGUGGAGCGGUGAAAUGCGUAGAUAUCGGGAGGAACACCAGUGGCGAAGGCGGCUUUCUGGUCUGCUCUUGACGCUGAGGCGCGAAAGCUAGGGUAGCAAACGGG
rnacentral:rRNA from 1 species